rnacentral:rRNA from 1 species
GACGAACGCUGGCGGCGUGCUUAACACAUGCAAGUCGAACGAAGUGGCGAACGGGUGAGUAACGCGUAAUCAACCUGCCCUUCAGAGGGGGAAAACAUUUGAAAACGACUGCAAAUACCGCAACCGGAGGGGGGGGGUGGGUGUGGAUAAGCUAGUUGGAGGGGUAACGGCCACCCAAGGCGAUGAUCAGUAGCCGGUCUGAGAGGAUGAACGGCCACAUUGGGACUGAGACACGGCCCAGACUCCUACGGGAGGCAGCAGUGGGGAAUCUUCCGCAAUGGACGAAAGUCUGACGGAGCAACGCCGCGUGAGUGAUGACGGCCUUCGGGUUGUAAAGCUCUGUUAAUCGGGACGCGGUACCGGAAUAGAAAGCCACGGCUAACUACGUGCCAGCAGCCGCGGUAAUUC